UACGGAGGGGGUUAGCGUUGUUCGGAAUUACUGGGCGUAAAGCGCGCGUAGGCGGACUAUUAAGUCGAGGGUGAAAUCCCGGGGCUCAACCCCGGAACUGCCUUGAUACUGGUAGUCUUGAGUUCGAGAGAGGUAGAGUGAAUUCCGAGUGUAGAGGUGAAAUUCGUAGAUAUUCGGAGGAACACCAGUGGCGAAGGCGGCUACUGGCUCGAUACUGACGCUGAGGUGCGAAAAGCGGUGGGAAACAGGAUUAGAUACCC
rnacentral:rRNA from 1 species